rnacentral:rRNA from 1 species
UACGUAGGGUGCAAGCGUUAAUCGGAAUUACUGGGCGUAAAGCGUGCGCAGGCGGUUGUGCAAGACCGAUGUGAAAUCCCCGGGCUUAACCUGGGAAUGGCAUUGGUGACUGCACGGCUAGAGUGUGUCAGAGGGGGGGUAGAAUUCCACGUGUAGCAGUGAAAUGCGUAGAGAUCCGGAAGAACACCGGUGGCGAAGGCGGUCUGCUGGGCAGUAGCUGACACUGAGGCACGAAAGCGUGGGGAGCAAACAGG